GACGAACGCUGGCGGCGUGCUUAACACAUGCAAGUCGAACGGAAAGGCCCUGCUUUUGUGGGGUGCUCGAGUGGCGAACGGGUGAGUAACACGUGAGUAACCUGCCCUUGACUUUGGGAUAACUUCAGGAAACUGGGGCUAAUACCGGAUAGGAGCUCCUGCUGCAUGGUGGGGGUUGGAAAGUUUCGGCGGUUGGGGAUGGACUCGCGGCUUAUCAGCUUGUUGGUGGGGUAGUGGCUUACCAAGGCUUUGACGGGUAGCCGGCCUGAGAGGGUGACCGGCCAAGUUGGUAAUGAGGAAACGCCCACACACCUAGGGGAGGGAUAGGGGGGGAAAUUGGCACAAGGGGGGGGACAUUGUCGAAACAACCCGGCGUGGGGGAAGACGGCCUUGGGGUUGUAAACCCCUUUCCCCUGUGAAGAAGGGUGGGGGGCGGAACUGGGUAAAGAAGAACCGGCAAAUAAAGU
rnacentral:rRNA from 1 species